UUGGAGGGCAAGUCUGGUGCCAGCAGCUGCGGUAAUUCCAACUCCAAUAGCGUAUAUUAAAGUUGUUGCAGUUAAAAAGCUCGUAGUUGAAUUUCGGGAUUGACGUGAUGGUCAUGCCUUAAGGGGUAUGAACUGUUGCUGUUGAUUUCUCACCUUCUGGAGAAACUUGAUGUCCUUAAUUGGGUGUCUUGCAGAUCCAGGACCUUUACCUUGAAAAAAUUAGAGUGUUUAAAGCAGGCAUUUUUGCUCGAAUACAUUAGCAUGGAAUAAUAGAAUAGGACGGCAUGGUUCUAUUUUGUUGGUUUCUAGGAUCACCGUAAUGAUUAAUGGGGAUAGUUGGGGGCAUUAGUAUUCAAUUGUCAGAGGUGAAAUCCUUGGAUUUAUUGAAGACAAACUACUGCGAAAGCAUUUGCCAAGGAUGUUUUCAUUAAUCAAGAACGAAAGUUAGGGGAUCGAAGACGAUCAGAUACCGUCGUAGUCUUAACCAUAAACUAUGCCGACUAGGUAUCAGACGAUGUUAAUUUUUUAAUGACUCGUUUGGCACCUUACGGGAAACCAAAGUGUUUGGGUUC
rnacentral:rRNA from 1 species